AUGCAUUUUGGAGAUUUGGUAUGC
rnacentral:siRNA from 1 species